CUCGUAUCGUCAGACAAGUCAUCAUCGUGAAAAAUAUGUAACGUUUAUGUCUAUUCUCUUGUGUUAGUAAUUUAAAUUUCAAACAUCGUCACUAGUGCUGCCAUUGACAGAUGGUGAGAAACUGGUGUGAAACUGAAAUUUAAAGGGAGUGAACGGUCUCGAGAAUCAGCUGUCUUCCGACCAUAAGAUCAGCUGUGAUGGUGUUGAUGUGUCAAAAGUCCGAAAUCGUACACCAAAAUGCCAGUGCUUAAUCUUCUAGAACUGGAUAUUAAAGAAGUAUUUGAAAAGCAUACGAUUAAGGAAAUCGAACAGAUUCAGAAAAAAAUUCAAAAUGAAAGUGAACGGAAGAAAGUUGACCUCCGAACACUUGUGGGGGAACGAUAUCGGGAUUUGAUACAAGCUGCGGAUACUAUUGCCGAAAUGAAACAGACCUCUGAAUCUGUCAUAACGAGAAUCUGUAAUAUGGAAGAAACUUGCCGUACUUUACAGCAAAAAUAUCUGAUUGGAUUUAACAUGGAUCCACCAAUAAAAGUGUUAGACAGCAAUAAAUCUGGUGAGGCUUACGACUCAAUAGUGAUGCAAAUAAAAAUUCUAAUGGACAUCCCGGAACAUAUAUGGUCUGCUAUAGACAACGAAGACUUCCUUUUGGCCACACAGCUCUUUCUGUUUGCCCAACACAUCAACUAUAGCUUAAGAAUUGAAAUUGGUGAUUCUGAUCUAGCCAAUAAGUAUCCCAUUACUCUAAAGCAAUGGGGUGUUAUAAGUCACUUUAGGAAUGUUAUUUUGACUGGAUGUGACAAAGUCUUGCAAUCCCUGGAGCUGUCAAUUGAGUUAGCAGCUAAUUGCUUAGCAUCUCUGGUGCUAUUGGAUAAUAUGACAUGUACAGAGUUAUUGAAAAAAUUAAUUUCUCUACAAAGUCAAGCUAUUGAGUCUGUAGUGAAAGAUGAAAGUCAUUUUAGUGUAAGAAAUAGAAUAAGCCUGAGCAUCAAAUUGCUUACGCACGUCAUCAGUCUAUUACAUUCCUGUUUUAUUGAGUCUGAUGGUAAUACGAAAGGUCUUGUACUUCAACGUAUUGAGGCUGUUGCUGGGCCAACUGCACCAACGACACUGUCGUUGUUGAAGGUGGACACAGAUUUAACUGAAAAAUUUUUGUCACCCUUUGCAAAAAGCCAUAAGCCUUCCAGCCGUGGUGAAAUCGAGCCAGUCUCAGCAGCUGAGCUUGCAACGAACGUUACAAACUGGUUGAGCUGGGUUCAAAGUUUUGUUAAGUGUGAGGUCUCGAAACUGUUAGCUCUAGUUACAUCAGUCAAAGGUAUUCACAAUAUCAGGGAAAAUGCGUUGGCCCUAGAUGUUCCCGAAAAUUGGGAAAGCAUGUGUAAAAACUUAUCUCUCCAAAGGACGAUAAAUUUGUGGGCAGAUUAUUUUCAGCCUUUGCUUACUGAACGGGUUAAGGAAAUUUUAAGUUGCAAAUGGGACGAAGCUUUGUCAAGUUUGAAGACAGAUCUUUUUGAGACACUGAAUAAGGUAGCGCAUGAGAAAAGCGAGUAUCCGGAGCACGAUCUCCGGUGGUAUGUUUGGAAAGAUUCACCGUCAGACAUACCGCAAAAGUUGAACAAAACCGGCGCCGAUAACGAAAGAUUGCUGCUCAUGAAGACGAGGGGGUUUUCACCAAAUUUAGCGAAGCUCUGCGAAAAUUUUGACAAAAAUUUGCUCUCGCUGUUGGAAGAUCUCCAGCUUUAUUUAUAUGAGAAUCAAAAAUCAACAGCAAAAGAUGUAUUGGCUAUCAAGAUAUCGACAACUUUCAAUAAGUUCAUUGAUCGCGAAAUAAUUCAAGAACAACUUCAGAUCAUCAGUACAAAAAAAAUAAAUGACUUAUCAGAAUUCAUCAAAGAAAAGUGUCUCGACGAAAAUUCUAAAUUCGGGAAAAGGGAAGUCAAUGCUAUUGUCGCAGCGAGAUUUUUGCAAGCGCUAACAUUACUUUGUCCAAGUUUAAACAAAUGUUUCACACUUUCUAAAGUAUCAGGCAUUGUGAUACCGAACACAAAAUGGCAGUCGAUUUGCGAUACUCUGAAGGAUGAUAGCGUAGCUGCGUGGACUGUGUGGGCUAAUCUCUUCAAACGAAACAUCCAUGAGCACAAAGAGCGUACAAUGCCUACUUCCUUAAAUGUUCUUAGAAUGCAGACGAUGAUCUGUGACUGGGAGAAAGUUAUAAUUGAGGAGGAGGGUGAGGAGGGAAAAAGAAUGAAGUCUGAAAUAUUGGUGCCUUAUCAGCCUUCCAUUUCUGUGCAAAAAUUCUUGGCAGCUGUCAGCAAAGACUUGAAUGCAGUUAUACCUCACACGUUACCAAAAAAAAUUCUUCACGAAAUCGUAGAUGCCGUAGUAAUGGAAUUGUUUGAAUUCUACGCGGAGAUGUCAAACUGCGAAGGUUUGAAGCAGAAACAGGCGUUGCAAAUUCUGCUAGAUACGAAAUACACUACUCUGUUGAUGGUGCCUAGAGAAAACAAAAAAUUUACCGACAAGUCUACGCAGUUAUGUGAAAGUAUUCAAUCGAAAAUCGAUCCCUUCGAUUUAGAUGUCUUUUAUCCCUUCAUACACGCUAAUGUGAAGAAGAGUGCCCAGAGAACGCAGUUGAUAUUCGGGAACCUUGUUCCUCAUUCGGAGCAACUCCACUCUGUUCUGGGUGUCCGGACGGCCUCCACAGUUGGCGAGGCUGGAAAAGCUGCAACCGAUUUUCCUGGUGUUCUCGCCGUUUGCCCGGGAGCUCCGUGGUUUCCUCCUCUCACGGUCACCGCUCCCUCCAGAACGGUGCCGAUAAUACCUGUCGCCUUGCAAGAUAAGUCAAUGAGUCCUGGCUUGCGAGGUGUUGCGUUCAUAAAUUUGGGUUAAACAGCCGCAUGUAUGGCGUCCUAGCAAACGGGGGACGUACGGUGUGGCCCGCCGACAAGCGGAAGAAGACACCGACGAAGACACACACGAGAAAUGAUUCGGCAGGAUCCACGAUCAAGUCCGGAGCUGCUGCAUUCUUCGGAGCCAUGGGAUCUGACUGGUUUGGCAGUGGUUAAUCAAGACCCUUACAGAUUGUUAUCGAAAUUUGCGGAAUUGAACCGCUCAGUAAUUAUCGAGACAUCGAAAUUUCACUAUGUGUUCUUCGAUGAAAUUGUAAAUAUAUAUAUGUCAUAUCACAAUAAUUGCUAAUAAAAUUAUGUGAUGGUUGAA